UACGUAGGGGGCUAGCGUUGUCCGGAAUCAUUGGGCGUAAAGCGCGUGUAGGCGGCCCGGUAAGUCCGCUCUGAAAGUCGGGGGCUCAACCCUCGGAUGCGGGUGGAUACUGUCGGGCUUGAGUGCGGAAGAGGCGAGUGGAAUUCCUGGUGUAGCGGUGAAAUGCGCAGAUAUCAGGAGGAACACCAAGUGCGAAGGCAGCUCGCUGGGACGUUACUGACGCUGAGACGCGAAAGCGUGGGGAGCAAACAGG
rnacentral:rRNA from 1 species